AAAGAUGUGUUGAUGUCCAAAAAGAUUUUAUGGCCAGACUUUAGCUCAUGGAGCACUGUCCAUAAAUAUCAAAGAUAUUUUCUAUAAACAUGGGGGGCUUAC